CACCUCAGGCGAAACAUGUGCUUAUGUGAAUUUUCCGUAAAAAGCUAAGCCUGUUUUGAGCUUUUCGCAAUCUCGUGCCUUACAUGGCUGAUUGCUUUUCAAUAUGCCUUCCUCAAUUUGGGACUCUCUCUCUAGCUGGCUUGGCCAAUUUUUUCCAAUUACAGUUGAGGAGCCUCUCGACAAUAAAGUUUCCAAUCCAGGGGGUCCCCAACCGCCGUGCUCGUGGAGCCGCCUGCAGAUAAUUGAAAAAAAAAAAAAAAAAAAAAAUCAUGGUGGAGAAUCAAAAAAACCAUAAGGAAUUCAAGGCUGUAUCAUUAUACAUGUAUGCUAUCUUUAUGCUUCUAUGUAUAUCUUCGGUGUAUGCUAUGGAGGUGCUUAUCCAAACUAGACUUUUGUGUGAAUACAUUCCC
rnacentral:sRNA from 1 species